CAGUCGUACGCUUCUUUUUCCCCGGAGCUUGCUCCACCGGAAAAAGAAGAGUGGCGAACGGGUGAGUAACACGUGGGUAACCUGCCCAUCAGAAGGGGAUAACACUUGGAAACAGGUGCUAAUACCGUAUAACAAUCGAAACCGCAUGGUUUUGAUUUGAAAGGCGCUUUCGGGUGUCGCUGAUGGAUGGACCCGCGGUGCAUUAGCUAGUUGGUGAGGUAACGGCUCACCAAGGCCACGAUGCAUAGCCGACCUGAGAGGGUGAUCGGCCACAUUGGGACUGAGACACGGCCCAAACUCCUACGGGAGGCAGCAGUAGGGAAUCUUCGGCAAUGGACGAAAGUCUGACCGAGCAACGCCGCGUGAGUGAAGAAGGUUUUCGGAUCGUAAAACUCUGUUGUUAGAGAAGAACAAGGAUGAGAGUAACUGUUCAUCCCUUGACGGUAUCUAACCAGAAAGCCACGGCUAACUACGUGCCAGCAGCCGCGGUAAUACGUAGGUGGCAAGCGUUGUCCGGAUUUAUUGGGCGUAAAGCGAGCGCAGGCGGUUUCUUAAGUCUGAUGUGAAAGCCCCCGGCUCAACCGGGGAGGGUCAUUGGAAACUGGGAGACUUGAGUGCAGAAGAGGAGAGUGGAAUUCCAUGUGUAGCGGUGAAAUGCGUAGAUAUAUGGAGGAACACCAGUGGCGAAGGCGGCUCUCUGGUCUGUAACUGACGCUGAGGCUCGAAAGCGUGGGGAGCAAACAGGAUUAGAUACCCUGGUAGUCCACGCCGUAAACGAUGAGUGCUAAGUGUUGGAGGGUUUCCGCCCUUCAGUGCUGCAGCUAACGCAUUAAGCACUCCGCCUGGGGAGUACGACCGCAAGGUUGAAACUCAAAGGAAUUGACGGGGGCCCGCACAAGCGGUGGAGCAUGUGGUUUAAUUCGAAGCAACGCGAAGAACCUUACCAGGUCUUGACAUCCUUUGACCACUCUAGAGAUAGAGCUUCCCCUUCGGGGGCAAAGUGACAGGUGGUGCAUGGUUGUCGUCAGCUCGUGUCGUGAGAUGUUGGGUUAAGUCCCGCAACGAGCGCAACCCUUAUUGUUAGUUGCCAUCAUUUAGUUGGGCACUCUAGCAAGACUGCCGGUGACAAACCGGAGGAAGGUGGGGAUGACGUCAAAUCAUCAUGCCCCUUAUGACCUGGGCUACACACGUGCUACAAUGGGAAGUACAACGAGUCGCGAAGUCGCGAGGCUAAGCUAAUCUCUUAAAGCUUCUCUCAGUUCGGAUUGUAGGCUGCAACUCGCCUACAUGAAGCCGGAAUCGCUAGUAAUCGCGGAUCAGCACGCCGCGGUGAAUACGUUCCCGGGCCUUGUACACACCGCCCGUCACACCACGAGAGUUUGUAACACCCGAAGUCGGUGA
rnacentral:rRNA from 1 species